rnacentral:rRNA from 1 species
CCCUUAGAUGUUCUGGGCCGCACGCGCGCUACAAUGGUCUUCGCAAACGGAUGCAUUCUCGAAGGAGAAUGCCAAUCUUGGAAUCUAUGCCUUGGUCGGGACAGUUGCUUGCAAUUUUUCGACUCGAACCAGGAAUUCCUUGUAAUCGUGACUCAUCACAUCACGAUGAAUACGUCCCUGCCCUUUGUACACACCGCCCGUCGCUCCUACCGAUCGAAGAGUUAGGUGAAUUGUUUUGAUCGAUAAGAUUUGACUAUGGUCAACUCUCGUUGUGAAAUUCUGUGAAUCUGACUGUUUAGAGGAAGGAAAAGUCGUAACA